GGAAUUUUGGACAAUGGGCGCAAGCCUGAUCCAGCAAUGCCGCGUGAGUGAAGAAGGCCUUCGGGUUGUAAAGCUCUUUUGUCAGGGAAGAAACGGGUCUUUCUAAUACAGAGGCCUAAUGACGGUACCUGAAGAAUAAGCACCGGCUAACUACGUGCCAGCAGCCGCGGUAAUACGUAGGGUGCAAGCGUUAAUCGGAAUUACUGGGCGUAAAGCGUGCGCAGGCGGUUUUGUAAGACUGUCGUGAAAUCCCCGGGCUCAACCUGGGAAUGGCGAUGGUGACUGCAAGGCUAGAGUUUGGCAGAGGGGGGUAGAAUUCCACGUGUAGCAGUGAAAUGCGUAGAUAUGUGGAGGAACACCGAUGGCGAAGGCAGCCCCCUGGGUCAAAACUGACGCUCAUGCACGAAAGCGUGGGGAGCAAACAGGAUUAGAUACCCUGG
rnacentral:rRNA from 1 species